CUCAUUACAUAUUUUAACUAUGGUAUUGUAUAUGUACAUUAGGCCAUAAUAAAAAUAUUCCUAGAUUCUCAUCCCCGCCCGCCCCGAUUUUAAAGCCCCGCCUCAAUUUUUUUUAUUUCUGUUUUUCUAUGUCGUAAUUCUGAUCGGAAUCGGUAUACAUCUACCAUUCUACUUUCGUUUUAAAUCCCGUGAAAGUCGACAUGAUUUUGACCGCUGAAAAGAUGGUAAUUGCUGUAAUACAUGUGUAUAUAUUUUAAACAAAGGUCAUUGGUUGAAAAAGUUUGGUGAUGAUGUGAAGUAAGAGAUAAUUGGACCUUUACUAUGACUCUUAUUCGGGUAUUGUAGAUAAAAUUACACUGAUUGACAAGGUCAAUAAAAGUCUGCAAAAUUGAAAAAAAAAA